GGAGCCAUGGCUCAGUGGUACAGCAUCUGCUUUGCACGCAGAAGGUCCCUGCUUUGCACGCAGGUUCAAUCCCUGGUAAUGCCA
rnacentral:tRNA from 1 species